rnacentral:misc_RNA from 1 species
UCCCCGUUACCGAGGCAGUCUAAAUAGAAAAAUUCAACUAUUUACAAGGGUUGCGCUCGUUGAUGGACUUAACCAAACAUCUCACGACACGAGCUGACGACGGCCAUGCAUCACCUGUCACUGUUCCAACUAAAUGAAAUUUUUCUUUCGAAAAAUGGCUAACAGGAUGUCAAGCCUUGGUAAGGUUCUUCGCUUACCAUCGAAUUAAACAACACGCUCCACCGCUUGUGCGGGUCCCCGUCAAUUCCUUUAUGUUUUAAGCUUGCGCUCGUACUCCACAGGCGGGAUGCUUAACGCGUUAGCUUCGCUACUACUCGGGUCGAUACGAAUAACAGCUAGCAUCCAUCGUUUACGGCGUGGACUAC